GACGAACGCUGGCGGCGUGCCUAAUACAUGCAAGUUGAGCGCUGAAGGUUGGUACUUGUACCAACUGGAUGAGCAGCGAACGGGUGAGUAACGCGUGGGGAAUCUGCCUUUGAGCAGGGGACAACAUUUGGAAACGAAUGCUAAUACCGCAUAAAAACUUUAAACACAAGUUUUAAGUUUGAAAGAUGCAAUUGCAUCACUCAAAGAUGAUCUCGCGUUGUAUUAGCUAGGUGGUGAGGUAAAGGCUCACCAAGGCGAUGAUACAUAGCCGACCUGAGAGGGUGAUCGGCCACAUUGGGACUGAGACACGGCCCAAACUCCUACGGGAGGCAGCAGUAGGGAAUCUUCGGCCAUGGACGAAAGUCUGACCGAGCAACGCCGCGGGAGUGAAGAAGGUUUUCGGGUCGUAAAACUCUGUUGGUAGGGAAGAACGUUGGUGAGAGUGGAAAGCUCACCAAGUGACGGUAACUACCCAGAAAGGGACGGCUAACUACGUG
rnacentral:rRNA from 1 species